ACUUUGCUCAGACACAUGAAGUAUUAGUGAAGUACAUUAUUGACAUACAACUUGAAUUGCUCAUAGUAUAUUUGGCAUUAAAUUUAAGAGUAUUGUUUGUUCAAGUGGAUAUUUACUAAUUGAAAUUUUCUUUUAAUUUUGUCAAAUGGAGACAAAUCGUUGAAUAUAAAGAUACCUAAUGUUCGUGAGUUUAUGUGAAAAAUUGGGAGAAGAAAUCAGCAUUUUAAUAAAACAAAAUUGUUUUCUAAAGUUAGUACUUCCACAGUACCACACACACACGCAGAUUGAGAAUAAACAUUUUCACAGAGUAUGGGGGAAAAGGAGGAAAAUAAUCCCCAGCCUUAGGAAUCCAGUUUUUGUUGCAUAGAACUCUGACCUGAUUAAGGUCAGUCAUUUUUUUUGUUGCUGGUGUUGGUAGCUGAUCCUGCUUCAGAUGAUCCAUCUAUUAUUUCCCCUUUCCGCCUUUUUAAACCAUCACCACUGACUUUUAGAAGCCAGAGUUUAUAUCGUUUGUGAUAAGCUUCUUGGUGUUAUCACAAUAAAUCGUAAAGCUUUAGGGCUAAAAAGGACUGUAGUGGUCUCAUGGUCCAACCUCCUGACUUUUCAGAUGAGAAUAUAUCCCUGUUUAUUUUUUCUUUCGUUUAAGCAUUUCCAUCUACAUAUUAUUUCUUUUAUAUAUUUGAAAGAUUCUAGUCUGAAGUAGGUCAGGUAGGGAGGAGAAAAUAAAAGUGAUUCUUGUUUGGCAAAGACUUUCCUAGUGGUAGGCUUGGCAGAAUUUCAGACUGCAGUAUUGAUUCAAACACGUAAAGUCUAUAGCAUUCAACAUUUGAAGUGCCAUUAUAGCAUUGUUUUAAUUAACUGCUUGCUUUUAUAAGCUAAUUAUAUGUAAGUGCUGGUGUCUUCAAU
rnacentral:lncRNA from 10 species